rnacentral:rRNA from 1 species
AACGAACGCUGGCGGCAUGCCUAACACAUGCAAGUCGAACGAGACCUUCGGGUCUAGUGGCGCACGGGUGCGUAACGCGUGGGAACCUGCCCUUAGGUUCGGAAUAACUCCCCGACAGGGGUGCUAAUACCGGAUAAUGUCUUCGGACCAAAGAUUUAUCGCCUUUGGAUGGGCCCGCGUUGGAUUAGCUAGUUGGUAGGGUAAAAGCCUACCAAGGCGACGAUCCAUAGCUGGUCUGAGAGGAUGAUCAGCCACACUGGGACUGAGACACGGCCCAGACUCCUACGGGAUGCAGCAGUGGGGAAUAUUGGACAAUGGGCGAAAGCCUGAUCCAGCAAUGCCGCGUGAGUGAUGAAGGCAUUAGGGUUGUAAAGCUCUUUUAACCGGGAUGAUAAUGACAGUACCGGGAGAAUAAGCCCCGGCUAACUCCGUG